rnacentral:rRNA from 1 species
AAUGAACGCUGGCGGCAUGCCUUACACAUGCAAGUCGAACGGCAGCAUGACCUAGCUCGCUAGGUUGAUGGCGAGUGGCGAACGGGUGAGUAAUGCAUCGGAACGUGCCUUUUAGUGGGGGAUAACGUAGCGAAAGUUACGCUAAUACCGCAUAUUCUCUGAGGAGGAAAGCAGGGGACCUUCGGGCCUUGCGCUAGAAGAGCGGCCGAUGUCGGAUUAGCUAGUUGGUGAGGUAAAGGCUCACCAAGGCAACGAUCCGUAGCGGGUCUGAGAGGAUGAUCCGCCACACUGGGACUGAGACACGGCCCAGACUCCUACGGGAGGCAGCAGUGGGGAAUUUUGGACAAUGGGCGCAAGCCUGAUCCAGCCAUGCCGCGUGAGUGAAGAAGGCCUUCGGGUUGUAAAGCUCUUUCGGCUGGGAAGAAAUCGCACCCUCUAAUACAGGGUGUGGAUGACGGUACCAGCAUAAGAAGCACCGGCUAACUACGUG